GUUUCAUUAGAUUUUAUGUUUUGAGAUCAUAAAAAAUAGCGUCAUUAAUCAAUUGUGAUAGUGCUAACAGUAUUUCAUAUUAAACUUUUACGUGCAAAAAUGUUCCCAAGUAAAUAUUUUGUGUUGAUAUUUUUCAUUUUAUACAAUUUAACCAGAUUGAGUGAAGGUUAUUACCAGGGUUACAAGGAAUUAUCUGGACUAGGGACUAAUUUUUUUUUAAAAGCUAAAUUAAUUUAUAAGGAAUAUAAUCCAAAUAAUUAUGGAAGUAUUGUAUUUGAAAAGUAUUGGUUAAUAGAAGAGUCGGUAUUUGGUGAUGAAAAAAACAGUAUCGUUACAUUAAUUACCGAAGAAGAA